rnacentral:rRNA from 1 species
CGGUAAUUCCAGCUCCAAUAGCGUAUAUUAAAGUUGUUGCCGUUAAAAAGCUCGUAGUCGAACUUCGGCCUUUGCCGCCCGGUCCGCCCUAUGGGUGUGUACUGGAGCGGUGGAGGCUUACCUCGUGGUGAACGGCCAUGCUCUUUACUGGGUGUGGUCGGGAACCAUGAUUUUUACUUUGAAAAAACUAGAGUGUUCAAAGCAGGCUUACGCCCGAAUACAUUAGCAUGGAAUAAUAAAAUAGGACGUGCGGUUCUAUUUUGUUGGUUUCUAGAAUCGCCGUAAUGAUUAAUAGGGAUAGUUGGGGGCAUUCGUAUCCAAUUGCUAGAGGUGAAAUUCUUGGAUUUAUUGAAGACGAACUACUGCGAAAGCAUUUGCCAAGGAUGUUUUCAUUGAUCAAGAACGAAGGUUAGGGGAUCGAAAACGAUCAGAUACCGUUGUAGUCUUAACAGUAAACGAUGCCGACUAGGGAUCGGACGGGGAUUUUUAAUGACUCGUUCGGCACCUGAAGAGAAAUCUUUAAGUCUAGGUUCGGGGGGGAGUAUGGUCGCAAGGCUGAAACUUAAAGGAAUUGACGGAAGGGCACCACCAGGUGUGGAGCCUGCGGCUUAAUUUGACUCAACACGGGGAAACUCACCAGGUCCAGACACGACAAGGAUUGACAGAUUGAUAGCUCUUUCUUGAUUUCGUGGUUGGUGGUGCAUGGCCGUUCUUAGUUGGUGGAGUGAUUUGUCUGGUUAAUUCCGAUAACGAACGAGACCUUAACCUGCUAAAUAGCCCGGCCGACUUUGGUUGGUCGCUGGCUUCUUAGAGGGACUAUCAGCGUUUAGCUGAUGGAAGUUUGAGGCAAUAACAGGUCUGUGAUGCCCUUAGAUGUUCUGGGCCGCACGCGCGCUACACUGACCGAACCAGCGAGUUUAUCACCUUGGCCGGAAGGCCUGGGUAAUCUUGUGAAACUCGGUCGUGAUGGGGAUAGAGCAUUGCAAUUAUUGCUCUUCAACGAGGAACACCUAGUAAGCGUGAGUCAUCAGCUCGCGUUGAAUUCGUCCCUGCCCUUUGUACACACCGCCCGUCGCUACUACCGAUUGAAUGGCUUAGUGAGGUCUCCGGAUUGGCUUCUGGGAGCCGGCAACGGCACCUAGUCGCUGAGAAGUUGAACGAACUUGGUCAUUUAGAGGAAGUAAAAGUCGUAACAAGGUAGCCG